AUCAAAUGCAAGCUGAUAAUUUUUACCACUGCGAAACUGAGAUUCACCCUAACUACCCCAACCUCGGGUUAGCCUCACUCGGUGUUGCUAAUGAAGGAAAGGGGAAGGAGGAUCCGAUCGGAGGCUCCUCCCAUUUGUUGAAAGCUGCUCCUUCUCUAGGGGCUUGUGAGUAAGGAACCGGGGGGCUUCCGGAAAGCUGUCAGGGAGGAGCAUGUGGCGCUCUGCCCCUAGCCCUCUCCUUUCUACUCCACACCGGAGGACGGUAACCCCAAAGGGCGAACAGCUGAGACGUGGGCCAGGUCAGCUCUAGCAGUCUGAUCUCCCUAAUCCUCAGGAGGGGCUGAGGGUUAAGAAGCGCGCCAUCUCCCCGCAGCAGAGCUGGUGACUCAGUUCCGUGGAAACUGUAAAACGCUCGGGGGGAAAAAAGAACCCCAUAAAUGCAAAGCAUUAUUAUGAGCCCUUCCUCCCCACGCACGUUUCACCUUCAUAAGGUAUUGUCCUUCUGGCCCAGUCGGAAUGAUCAAGUUAUAAAGGGAUCAGUCUCACCCAACCCAACAAGCGAACACUCAGCUAGAGCUUCAGACUCCUGCCAAAUGACCCCGCUUGCAUUUGCCUGGCCUCUGCCGGCUUCUGAAAGGAGAGACCAAGCAGGCCAGCAGAAAGUGCGCAGCCCCGGUGUCCUGGAUAUGACGAUUCACCAACGGUGGGCCUUUCCUUCUCUGAGCCUCAGUUUCCUCCCCUCCCCACCACGACUGUUGCAAGGCUGGGUGAAAUAAUCCUUUGGAAUUCCUGAAGCUUUGAGCCACAUAAAGUGGUUUGAGAAAAUAUGGCCAUACACCUGUCUUCACUUGGUCAACCAACUGAUCCUAAGCCAACGGUGUUCCUGAGCACUGACUGCAGGAGCCCAGGCCUGAGUCUGGAAGGACAGAGAGGAAGAAGGCUCUAUUUCUCUCUUCUCUUUAUGAAUUUAGAGUCUUCAAAUACAGUCUAGUCAGGAUUUACCAACUCAUCAGAUAAUCCUGGGUUGAAUCCUAGUACUGUAACCUAGAAGCCAAGCGGAGCUUUGGCAAAUGAUGAAAAUAUUCCUGAGCUGUUCCCUUCUCUGUCACAUGGGGAUGAUGAUGACACUUACCUUGCAGGAAUACUGUAGGAGUCCAGGAGAUAGCAGGCGUCUUUGCAUCUGCAAAUCUUUUCCUCUUCUCUUAGCCUUUAGCCUGGAGAAGCUCUGGGGGUGAGGACAGUCCACCAGCCCUGUGCAAGGCUGGUUUUUAUUUUGUUUUGUUCAUUAUUGGGGAUUGAACCCAGAGGCGCUCUACCACUGAGCCACAUCCCCAGCCCUCUUUAUUUUUUAUUUCAAAUCAGGGUCUCACUAAGUUACCCAGGCUGGCUCCAAACUUGUGACCCUCUUGUCUCAGCUCCCUAAGUAGCUGGAAUUAUAGGCAUGCGUCAUUACGCCUGGCAUGAAGGCUGUGUUCUUAAGGCCAAGGGCCCUUACCUCCACGGUCACAGGAAAGCAGGCUCAUGUUGUCUGUCUGUAAGCAGAGGCAGCAAAUUGACUGCCUGGCAGCCAAAACCAACUUUAGACACUUCUAACUUUUCCCUGUGUGAUGUUAAAAAAUAAAUUAAUCUGUUGCUAGUGAAUUUAGGGGUUCUCUUGAAAAUCAGAAGACUCAGACCUUUGACCUUGACUGAAGAUACCUUCUAUCUUUAGAUGAAUCAAGUAUUCUCCUGAAUACUUGUGACUUCCCACAGGGUAUCUAGCUGUGGUGAAAGAACACCAUUUAGUCCAGAUCCAGUUGGACUUCAAAAUUGUUAAAGAACCAAGCCAAAAGUGACCAGCAAGGGCAGCCUUGACCCUAAGAGGAUCUCCUGGAAUAAUAAAGGCUGACUGCAUUCACUAAUUCACAAGAAGUUAACUGAGCAAGAUGUGCAAGUUGCUGUACUGGCUACAGUGGGGCAAGAGAAAGAAUAUCUAUUGAGAACCUUCUUUGUGUCAGGCCCUGACAUGAGCUCAUCUAUCCUCCCAUCAGCUUUGGGAGGUAGGUAUUAAGAUUUCAGUUGCCAGGCUGGGGAUAUAGGUUAGUUGGUAGAGUGCUUGUCUCGCAUACACAUGGACUUCAGUAUAAAUAUUGGUUCAUUGUUGGUACUAUAGUAAUGUGGGAUGUUAUAAGGGCAACUGGGUGUGGGGUUUGUGGGACUCUUUACUACAUUCUCAAUUUUUUUAUAAAUCUAAAAUUGUUCUAAAAUAAAAUUUGUUCAAAAAAUAAAAGAACAGGGCUGGGGAUUCAGCUCAGGGAGAGAGCUCUUGCCUAGCCUGCACCAGACCCUGAGUUCAAUCCCCAAAAGUAAAAGGAUCAAGUCAAAUAGCUAUACUCCCAUCCCUGUUAUUUUAUAAAAAAAAUUUAAAAAAUUUAAGUCUCCAAUUUUGAUUUAUAAUACUAGAAAUAUCAGCAGGUAUAGCCACAUACACAAAAUUCAUAGGAUCCUCAACUUUUUUUUUAAAUUUUGCUUUGGGGUUGGGGGGUGGAUCUCUCUAAAUUGCCCAAGCUGGCCUCAAACUUGAAAUCCUUCUGCCUCAGCCUCCUGAGUAGCUGGGAUUGUAGGGAGCACCACAGCGCCUGACUGCAAAAUUUUAAAGGUCAUAAAGGGAUCCUAAGACCCAAAGGUUUCAGAACAGUUACACUAGUCUUAGGCUUAUUUAUUUAUUUUUUUCUCUUGGAGGUACUGAGAGAGUGAACUUGGGGCCUAUGUUCAUGCUAGGCAAGUGUUCUACCACUGCAUCUCCAGCUCCUGUCCUAAUCUUAGAUUCAUUUCCUUUAUUUCCUCUCCCUCUUCAGUCUCUGUUCCAUUUAUUAAGCACCUGUUAUAGGUGAUUGCUUGCUUUGGACCUCAGCUCCUUCUUGUUUAAAAGUAAGAUGAAACAGUUAAGAAGUUCACAUGCCUUACAAUUCCUGAUCUCUACCCUCCCCAAAUAUCUAAGCAGAUUUUCUUUUCUUCUUUUUUUUAAAUUUUUUAAAUUGUAGUUGGACACAAUACCUUUAUUUCACUCAUUUAUUUUUCUGUGGUGCUAAGGAUCGAACCCAGGGUCUCAUACAUGUGAGGUAAGCGCUCUGCCGCUGAGCCACCACCCCAGCCCUCUAAGCAGAUUUUCUCCAAGCUAUUUUCUUCUUCUUCCUUCAUUGUAUUAUUUGUCAUUUCAUAAACAUUAUAGAACAUCCUUUAAUAAUAGAUAAAAUGAGUUACUUGUUAUCAUUUAUCUAACCCAGACACUGUACUUGAUGCAAACAUUUAAUUUUUCCACAACCCUAUGAGGCAGGGGUUAUUCCCAUUUUACAAGUGAAAAGCUGAACGCUGAAUGAAUGAAGUGACUUGCUCAAGGUUGUGAAGGAAGUUGAUAGAGCCAGGAUGUGACCCAGGCCUAGUGGACUGCAGACAUGUGGGUCUAGCCUCCAUCCUGUAUCCUGUACUCACAAAUGUGUUCAGGAGGGAUGUGAACAAAUUGAUAAUGGAAUGCUCUCUGCUAUCAAGGAGAUAACAGGCUAGUGGAGAAGGUUGAACAACUUGGCAAAUUUAUUAUAUUUUAAAACUUAUUCUUACCCUAUAUUUUAAAGAAAAAAGUUUAAAGAACUUUAGCAGAAUGUGGUCAUUUACCACCAGAUUCUUCCAAGGUGUUGGGAAUAUUUAUAGUCUUUCACUGAGGGAUGGGAAGAGAAUUGGUGGGGCAAAAAUGUGGGUGGAGGUGGAGCUCAGUGGUAAGCCCUUGUCUAUAAUGCACAAGGUCCCGGGUUCAAUUCCCAAAACCACAAAAUAGAUAAAUUGUUUUUGCCAGAUAUGGUGGUAUAUGUCUGUAAUCUCAUUGAAUCAGGAGGCUGAGGCUUGAUCACAAGUCCAAGACCAGCCAUAGCAAUUUAGCCAGAUCCUGUCUCAAAAUAAAAAGCAAAUGGACUGGGGAUGUAGCUCAUUGGUAAUGUGUCUUGGGUUCAAUCCCCACAACCAGAAAAAAAGAAGAAAUUAAUUAAAAGAAAGUAAAUAAAUAGUUUUUAUAAAGCAAAAAGAGGCCUUGCACAUCAAGGAUUUACUGACUAGUGUGUUUUGGUGGCAGGUAUAAAAGCUCACAAAUAGCUACAAUAUUAGGAGGAAUGGUGCAUGUUCAAUAGAAGAGACACACCACUUCACCAGGUAGAGAGAGAGGACAUCUGACUGGAGCAAGUAAGAAAGGCUUCUUAGAAGAGGUGGAAUCUGCCAGGUGUGACGUUGCAUACCUGUAAUCCCAGUGGCUCAGGAGGCUGAGGCAAGAGGAUCGUAAGUUCAAAGCUGUUGUGGUGUGAACUGAUCAAUAAGUUAUAGGUAUAAGUUCUAGACUAUAGGAACAAGAUUUUGAUAAGUAAGAUAAUAAAAAUAAAAUAAUAGGUAAAUAUGUGUGUGUAGGCCACAAGUUAACUAUAGUCUUCAGUAAGCAUUAAAUAAGAUACUAAUACUGGUUAUGUAAAGCAAUUGCUGGGGUAAAACUACCAGAUCACUUGUAAUAGUUCCCUCCUUGUGGGAGUAGCAAGAAUGGAGUCACUAUGUCUACGAUCAAACAGUUGUGGCCAUAGGGACUCCAUCUCAUCUAUUCUAGACUUGACUUUGGUUUUUCUGUUACUGCUCCUGUGAAGAGACAUCUUCAGGACCCAUUCUGAGAAAACAAAAUGAAAACUGUUUUCUGCUAAAUGCAAAAAAUAUAUAUUGUCUUCUGAACUUUGUACCCCACAAAAUGUACUCAACCCAGGAUAUGGUGGUCUUGGUGACCUAUUUGACUUUGAAGUAGAUUCUCACCCCUUCUGAGCACCUGAUUAGACCCAAGAUGCAGUUGACUGAGUUAUUCUGCUAACAGCUUUUUUUUUUUUUUAGCUUCUGUAACUUGCUUGCUUGCUAACAGAAAAAUUCCAUAGGAUGUGGUUUUCUUCCUUAAAUAGCGAAUUUCCCUCAAAGGCUUUUGCUAUUCUCCCACAGAGCAUCAGUCACUAUCUACGGGUGACAGUCCCUGACCGGUAAAUAAAGCUCUCUUUUGUUUAAA